rnacentral:rRNA from 1 species
UGGGGAAUAUUGCACAAUGGGGGAAACCCUGAUGCAGCGACGCCGCGUGAGCGAAGAAGGUUUUCGAGUCGUAAAGUUCUUUUAUAUGGGAAGAUAAUGACGGUACCAUAAGAAAAAGCCCCGGCUAACUACGUGCCAGCAGCCGCGGUAAUACGUAGGGGGCUAGCGUUGUCCGGAAUCACUGGGCGUAAAGGGUUCGCAGGCGGAAAUGCAAGUCAGGUGUAAAAGGCAGUAGCUUAACUACUGUAAGCAUUUGAAACUGCAUAUCUUGAGAAGAGUAGAGGUAAGUGGAAUUUUUAGUGUAGCGGUGAAAUGCGUAGAUAUUAAAAAGAAUACCGGUGGCGAAGGCGACUUACUGGGCUCAUUCUGACGCUGAGGAACGAAAGCGUGGGUAGCAAACAGG